rnacentral:rRNA from 1 species
AGCAGCCGCGGUAAUUCCAGCUCCAAUAGCGUAUAUUAAAGUUGCUGCAGUUAAAAAGCUCGUAGUUGAAUUUCGGGACCGAUAUAUCGGUCGUGCCUCGGUACGUACUGGUAUUUUCGGUUUCUCCCUUCUGACGAACCUUAAUGUCAUUAAUUUGGUGUCUUGGGGAAUCAGGACUGUUACUUUGAAAAAAUUAGAGUGUUUAAAGCAGGCUCACGCUUGAAUACAUUAGCAUGGAAUAAUGAAAUAGGACGUUUGAUUCUAUUUUGUUGGUUUCUAGGAUCGACGUAAUGAUUAAUAGGGAUAGUUGGGGGCAUUAGUAUUCAAUUGUCAGAGGUGAAAUUCUUGGAUUUAUUGAAGACUAACUACUGCGAAAGCAUUUGCCAAGGAUGUUUUCAUUAAUCAAGAACGAAAGUUAGGGGAUCGAAGACGAUCAGAUACCGUCGUAGUCUUAACCAUAAACUAUGCCGACUAGGGAUCCGGAUGAUGUUAAUUUUUUUAAUGACUCAUUCGGCGCCUU